UACGUAGGUGGCAAGCGUUGUCCGGAUUUACUGGGCGUAAAGAGCGCGCAGGCGGUCGAGUAAGUCGAAUGUGAAAGCCCCCGGCUUAACUGGGGAGGGUCAUUCGAUACUGUUCGACUUGAAGGCAGGAGAGGGCAGCAGAAUUCCCCGGUGUAGCGGUGAAAUGCGCAGAUAUCGGGAAGAACACCCGUGGCGAAGGCGGUUCUCUGGGACGGUACUGACGCUGAGACGCGAAAGCGUGGGGAGCGAACAGG
rnacentral:rRNA from 1 species